GAGCCUGCCGAUGAAAAAUGCAGCCCUCAAAAGCACCAUAACAAGCAUGUCGAUUGGAUAACCGUGCUAGGCUUCUUGAUUGGGGUUUCAGCAAUUGUUAUCGCAACAUUUUCCACCGGGAUUGAUUCACAAACAUUUCAGCUCAAGAAACAAGAAUAUCUAAUGGAGGAUGAUAUCCCUUACAAUUAUGAUUUUUUCCACUUGG